AUUGAACGCUGGCGGCAGGCCUAACACAUGCUAGUCGAACGAGUGGCGGACGGGUGAGUAAUGUCUGGGAAACUGCCUGAUGGAGGGGGAUAACUACUGGAAACGGUCGCUAAUACCGCAUACCAUCGGAUGUGCCCAGAUGGGAUUAGCUAGUAGGUGGGGUAAAGGCUCACCUAGGCGACGAUCCCUAGCUGGUCUGAGCGGAUGACCGGCCAAAUGGGAACUGAGACACGGUCAAGACUCCUAUGGGAGGAACCAGUGGGGAAUAUUGCACAAGGGGCGCAAGCCUGAUGCAGCCAUGCCGCGUGUAUGAAGAAGGCCUUCGGGUUGUAAAGUACUUUCAGCGGGGAGGCGUUACCCGCAGAAGAAGCACCGGCUAACUCCGUGCCAGCAGCCGCGGUAAUUC
rnacentral:rRNA from 1 species